GCUCUGGAAUGAUGACAUAAAAGGCCGAAUUGCAGUAUCUACCUGCGCAGUUUACUCUCUACAGGGAGGUACAAUGACAAAUCCCCUUGAAGCGAAAACAUGACUGACCUUUGC